UACGGAGGGGGCAAGCGUUAUUCGGAAUUAUUGGGCGUAAAGGGCGCGUAGGCGGCUAGAUGUGUCAAAGGUGAAAUCCCUCGGCUCAACUGAGGAACUGCCUUUGAAACUGUCUGGCUUGAGGCCGGGAGAGGGUAGCGGAAUUCCCAGUGUAGCGGUGAAAUGCGUAGAUAUUGGGAGGAACACCGGUGGCGAAGGCGGGUCUCUGGGCCGUAACUGACGCUGAGGAGCGAAAGCGUGGGGAGCGAACAGG
rnacentral:rRNA from 1 species